CUCAGUUAUCCCGAAGGAUGUUCCUGUUGGAUUCUUACUCAGUCACUGCAGACUCCUAGGAUUGUGCGGUGCUCCUCCCGCUCUUUGUCUUGUUUAAAUAGUUAAUUUAAAAACCUUUCCAACAUGUCCGACGAAGAAGAAGUUUACUCGUAAG